AGCGAACGCUAGCGGCGGGCCUAACACAUGCAAGUCGAGCGGAGGGAGCAAUCCUUCAGCGGCGGACGGGUGAGUAACGCGUAGGUAAUGUACCUUCUGGUGGGGAAUAACCGUGGGAAACCAUGGCUAAUACCGCAUAUCGUCCUUACGGAUGAAAGCCUUCGGGCGCCAGAAGAGCAGCCUGCGUCCCAUUAUUUAGUCCUAGUUGGUGAGGUAACGGCUCACCAAGGGUACGAUGGGUAGCUGGUCUGAGAGGAUGAUCAGCCACACUGGAACUGAGACACGGUCCAGACUCCUACGGGAGGCAGCAGUGGGGAAUAUUGCGCAAUGGGCGAAAGCCUGACGCAGCCACGCCGCGUGAGUGAUGAAGGCCUUC
rnacentral:rRNA from 1 species